CCUACGGGAGGCAGCAGUAGGGAAUCUUUCACAAUGGGCGAAAGCCUGAUGGAGCAACGCCGCGUGCAGGAUGAAGGCUUUCGGGUUGUAAACUGCUUUUAUAAGCGAGAAAUAUGAUGGUAACUUAUUAAUAAGGAUCGGCUACCUACGUGCCAGCAGCCGCGGUCAUACGUAGGAUCCGAGCAUUAUCCGGAGUGACUGGGUGUACAGAGUUGCGUAUGUGGCAUAAUAAGUAGCGAGGGAAAACGGGUGGGUCAACCAUUCGGACUAUUAGCUAAACUGUUAAGCUCGAGACCGUUAGGGGUAACUGGAAUUUCUAGUGUAGGAGUGAAAUCCGUAGAUAUUAGAAGGAACACCAAUGGCGUAGGCAGGUUACUGGGACGGUUCUGACACUAAGGCACGAAAGCGUAGGGAGCAAACAGGAUUAGAUACCCCAGUAGUC
rnacentral:rRNA from 1 species